UACGUAGGCAGCGAGCGUUGUUCGGAGUUACUGGGCGUAAAGCGUGCGUAGGCGGCAGUCCAAGUCUGGUGUGAAAUCUCCCGGCUCAACCGGGAGGGUGCGCCGGAAACUGGGCUGCUGGAGUGCGGGAGAGGCAAGCGGAAUUCCAGGUGUAGCGGUGAAAUGCGUAGAUAUCUGGAGGAACACCCGUGGUGCAGACGGCUUGCUGGACCGUAACUGACGCUGAGGCACGAAAGCGUGGGUAGCAAAC
rnacentral:rRNA from 1 species